CGUGCAGUCCAAGUUGGUCUGGUGUCUGAAAUGAGACUGGGGCCUAUAAAAAGGAGCGUCUAUACAGGAGUUCAAAUGGGCUGCACCCUGUAGCAUUUCGAGGACAGACCUGAAUUCUGAGAAGGGCAAGUGGUAAAAGUAUUGUCUAGUCCUUUUUAAGUUGAUGGCUGAGCUUGGUGAGCUGUGUUUUUAAAAGACCAUUCUUUCACUGAAUACUAAGAGCCUGGGAAACUGCUUGGGUGAUUUGACUAAUAAAGGCCGGUCUGUUAUAGGACUAUAUAGAGGUGGGAAGGCCAAACCGAGGAAUUAUGUCUGACAGAAGGGAAGAAAUGACUGUGGUGGCUUUCUCAGACUCUGUGGGAAAGGCCUCUACCUAUCCAGUGAAAGUGUCUACCCAGACCAAGAGGUAUUUUAGUUUUCUGACUCGGGGCAUUUUGAGUAAAGCCAAUUUAGUAGUCCUGGGCGGGGGCAAAUCCCCGAGCUUGAUAGUUGGGGAGUUUUAAGAGGUUUAGAAGCCUGGCCGUCAAUACCCACAGCAGUUAUGGAGGCAAAGGAAACAGGGCUUUGAAAAGAAGGUAAUGUGGAGUGGGUAGCCUCCGUAUUGAUUAAGAAGGGGACGGACUUAACCUUCCACUGUGAACGUUACUUAAAGCAUCUGUGAUGGUCUGGGAAGGUUCCGAGGUGAUUAGGCAGCGUCGGUCUUCAGCUGCUAAGCUGAGAAGAUCUGGGAAGGAGUCAGAGAGCCUUGGGCCAGAGUUCCAGGGGCUCUGGGAGUGGCUGCCAGGUGAGUUGGACAGUCCGAUUUCCAGUGGGGUCCCACACAGAUGGGACGUGGCUUAGGAGGAAUCCCGGGCUGUGGGCAUUCUUUGGCCCGGUGGCCAGAUUUCUGGCACUUGUAGCAAGCUUCUGGGGCAGGCGGGCCUGGAGGAAUGCCUGGCCACUUCGUUUUAGGCGUUUGGAAGUUCUUGUGUCCUGGAGAUGUGGCUGGGGUUUCUGUCACAGUGGAGGCAAGGAAUUGCAACUCAGAAACAAGUUGCUACUUGGCCGCCUCUAUUCUAUUAUUGUACACCUUGAAGGCGAGAUUAAUUAAGUCCUGUUGUGGGGUUUGAGGGCUGGAAUUUAAUUUUUGGAGCUUUAUUUAAUGUCAGGAGCAGAUUGGGUAAUAAAAUAAAAUGUAUAUUGAGAAUAAGAUGGUAUUUUGACCUUUCAGGGUCUAGGGCUGUAAAGUGUCUCAGGGUUACUGCUAAACGGGUCAUGAACUGGGCUGGGUUUUUCAUAUUUGAUGAAAAAAGAGCUGAAAGACUAACUGAUUCUGGGAGGGGUCAGAUACAGAAAAAGGAGCAUUAACCUUGACUUUGCCUUUAGUUCCAGCCACCUUUUUAAGAGGAGAUUGCUGGGCAGGUGGGGGAUGGCUAGUCGUGGAACGAAACUGUAAGCUGGACUGGGUGUGAGGAGGGGAGGUGAUAAAAGGAUUAUAGGGUAGGGGGAGCAGAGGCUGAGGAAGAAUUGGGACUUGGCUCGGCCUGGGGAGGAGGGGGGAUGUCAGAUGGGUCUGUAGAAAAGGAAGAUUAGAAAGAGUGAUGCUUGGGGUUGGGACUGAGAGGACAGGCGGGAGGGAAAGAAGGAGGAUUUGGGACGAGUCACACUGGGGACAGAGACUAGGGAGGGAACAAUGUGUAAAAGAAUGCCUGGACGUUAGGCACCUCAGACCAUUUGCCUAUUUUAUGGUAAGAAAUAUCUAGAUCUUGUAAGAUGGAAAAAUCAAAAGUGCUGUUUUCUGGCUAUUUGGAACCACUGUCGAGUCUGUAUUGGGGUCAAGCGGCAUUGUAGAAGCAAAUAAGGCGUUUAGGUUUAGGUCAGGUGUGAGGUGAAGAGGUUUUAAGUUCUUGAGAGCACAGACUAAGGGAGAAGAAGGAGGAAUGGAGGAUGGAAGGCUGCCCAUAGUGAAGGAGGCAAGCCCAGAGAAAAGAGAGAGUAGAGACAUGGAGAGAAGGGGUGGGGGGUUCUUGCCCCCCAGAAAAGCGGAGAAGGGGUAGCAACAUGGAGAGAAGGGGUCGGGGGUUUCUUGCGCUCCAGAAAAGCAGAGAAGGGGUAGAGACAUGGAGAGAAGGGGUUGGGGGGUUCCUGCCCCCCAGAGAAGCGGUACUUGCUGCUAAGGGUGAAGGACCAAGGCAGGCAUCCCCGUGUGGUCAGACAACUCUGAAACGUGGGUGAAUAAUCAGGCAGCCAUCCCUGCGUGAUUAAACACCAAGAGAAGACUGUCUUCCCAAGUCUGUGACCAGGGCUGGAGUUUUGGGUCCACAGAUAAAACGUGUCUCUUUUGUCUCUACCAGAAAAUGAAAGGAACUGAAAUUAAGACAAGGGAGAGAUUGAAGUGUGGCACCAAGACUGAAAGGAGAAAGAGGUUGAGGGAUAGUGAGAGAGGUUGGAGAAGAGAGUAAAAAGAGGCCGCUUACCAGAUUUAAAAUUGGUGAGAUGUUCCUUGGGCUGGUCGGUCUGAGGACCCAAGGUCGUAUGUGGAUCUUUCUCACGAAACAAAGAGCAGGAGGACAGGGGAUUGAUCUCCCAAGGGAGGCCCCCGAUCCGAGUCCUGGCACCAAAAUUUCGCUCGCGCCAGUGUGAAGAGACCAUUAAACAGGCUUUGUGUGAGCAACAAGGCUGUUUAUUUCACCUGGGUGCAGGCUGGCUGAGUCCGCAAAGAGAGUCAGCGAAGGGAGACAGGGGUGGGGCCAUUUUGUAUAUAGAUCGCUUCUUGACCUGCACAACUUUCUGAUUUGAUGAGUUCAACAGAAACCAACUCAAGGUAAGGAGAAGAAUAAAGACAUUGUUGAACUUAGACUUUGACAAGAUAAGAAUAACAAUCUUGGAAUAUGCUGAAGAUGGCAGACUACAAAGUAGAAGGAGACAAAGUUUGUGAAAGACCAGGUGGAGGAAAGUCAUCCACUAAUCAGGAGCCCUUUUAUGGAAUCUACGUAAACAAGAAAUAAACAAAGGUUUAGUCCAUUAUACCUUUCAAGUCAACAGCAAAGCAGACAGCCUACUCUAAUUAAUGUAUCCAUUCUCAGAAUCUUCAACCAGAGGUACAGAAUGAAGGAUGGAGGGCCGAGUGGCAUGCCACUGGAAACCACUAGGCAGGCCGACAUUAAUUAGCACCAUCUGGGGAAGGAUUAUCUAACUAGGUACUUUGCAACCUAACUGCUGUUGUACUUGGCCACAUUCUCUCUAUCUUGUCCUUAAAUGCAUAUUGGAUAUCUAAAUAGAGAUAUCAAGAAAUGAAGAUAUGCAUUUCCAGUUCCAGAGAGAAAUUCACACUGGAAAUAUAAAUUUAGGAAUUUUAAAGUUAGUGGUCACAUUUAAAGCUGCAGAAUACAAAGAGAUCACCUGUGUGAGAGAACUGAGUCCUGAAACAUACCCGUGUUUAAAGAUCUGGGAGGUGCAGAGGAAUUAUCAAAGGAGGCUGAGAAGGAGCAGCCAGUGAGGUGUGUAGAAAAACAAGAUAAGCAAAAAGAAAAGCAAGAGAUAUGGAACUGAACUUCCCUUUGGCAAAAAAUUUAGAAAAUGAUAAUGAGGAACAUCGAUUUCAGCAUACCUUAAACCUUUUGAACAGACUUGUCGCCUUUAAAGGUCUAUUUCACUGUGAAUGGUGGUUAAGAAGUGCCACCUAGAACCUCGGCACAUGUGAAGUAGGACCAGACUUCUCUAGUCAAGAAACUGAACAGGCACUGCUAGCAAGGCAGGAAACGUGAACUUGACAAACCACGUCUGAGCUUGCCAAGAGGCUUAGCCUUUAUUUCAGGGUCAGAAUCUUGUCUUCUUUUAUCCAACUUGGAAACGAAGAAAAUAUUUGCGUAGUAUUCAGAUGUAUCAUCCUUAAGAAUGUGAAUAUUUAAGAUAAUGGAUCAAGUAGAAAUAGGUCAAAAGAUAUAGCACAGAGUUAAAAAUAGCCACCACAGAAAAUGUGUUUGCAUUUGGCGUGGUGCCUUUUCACACUCAUGUAAUUGGCCAUUUGGCUCGCUGUGUAAAGCAGCCAGCUUCCCUCAGCUCUGGGAUAUGGGGGUUAGGGUACUCUGUUACUUUCCCCAAACCACAUAAAUAGAAGACCAAAUUAGUUAUUUCUACAGUUAAAGCUAAAAUUCCCUUCCUUUCAUGUCAAUGAUGAGACUUUCUAAUGUGAAAAAAUUACCAUUACUAUCAGCAAAGGAACUAUUCUCUCUUGAGGCUUGUUGUUUUGUUUUGUUUUAAUUUGCGUAUUCCCUCCUCCCUCCCAGUCUCUAGACCCCCUUCGUGGAUGGUAUCAGAUGAUUUCAGUCCAACCUUCCAUUGCAUUCUCUGACUGAGCCAACACAGCUGGAUUCUCAGCCAACUAUGAAGUUUAAAUUGACUCCGCUUUCUGUCUCUCUGAAGAUAACGUUAAGCUGCAGCUCCGUAUCUGUGAAAACCCAUUUCACAGCAUCUGCAUCCCUGGAUUGCUAAAUACCCUUGUCUAGUUACCCAAAUAUUAAUGGAUCCCAUGGAAUAAGGUGGCAUGAUUUAGGCACAAGCAAUUACCAAAGGAUUUUGAAAAGCAGUAACUCCAAAUUAUCUUGUAAAGUUGAGAAUAAUCUGAGAAGAGCUAUUGUAAGACUGGGAAUCAAGUAACAAAAUAAAGAUAUGAACCGUCCAGGCCCCAUGGACCAAGACUUGCUGAAGAAACAAAGAAAAGAUAGAAUACCUGGCAUAGAGGGGGCCAUCAGAAUUCUGCUUCAAUGCUGUGGCUAUUUUUAUUCUUAUUGGUCAGCAACCACGCAAUAUCAGUUGAUAUUCUGAAUAUAACCUUUAGCUAUAGACACAUAAAAUAAGAAAAUUUUCGCAACCUACUCAUCUGACAAAGGGCUAAUAUCCAGAAUCUACA
rnacentral:lncRNA from 1 species